AUCCCGCUUGCGGUUGAAAACGAUUUAUCGUGAGAAGUCAGCAGAAGCCAUAGUAGGCAAUCUUGUUAAAAAAAAUUGCUGAAGGGC
rfam:Clostridium bolteae CAG:59 genomic scaffold, scf22